AUCUGCAACUCUUCAUAUUAGUUUAACUACUCUGACAGGUGAAAGAGACUCUUAGUUUUAGAACAUGACUAUUAUCAGACACAGUCUGCUCAGCUUGUUGGUAGUUGUGCUCUGGAUAAAAGGUCUGACUGAUGGAAGUGAUGUCCAACAGACACCCAUAAUGUGGGAAACGGAGGGUAAAAGUGCAACAAUGCAGUGCAAUCACACAAAGGGUGCUGACUAUUUCUGGAUGUACUGGUUCAGACAGCUGCCUGGACAAACAAUGAAACUAAUUGUAUCCACAACAAUAGGCAAAAAAGAUAAUGAACACGACUUUGGAGAUUUCGACAAAGAGAAAUUUUCAGCCAGCAAGACUGUUGCUGAGAGUGGGACAUUUACAGUGAAGAAGCUGGAGCCAAAAGACAAAGGCUUGUACUUCUGUGCUGUGAGCAAACACAGUGAUACAGACACAGCAGAGAGUUAA